rnacentral:rRNA from 1 species
UACGUAGGGGGCAAGCGUUGUCCGGAUUUAUUGGGCGUAAAGAGCGUGUAGGCGGCUGGGUAGGUCCGUUGUGAAAACUCGAGGCUCAACCUCGAGACGCCGAUGGAAACCGUCUGGCUAGAGUCCGGAAGAGGAGAGUGGAAUUCCUGGUGUAGCGGUGAAAUGCGCAGAUAUCAGGAAGAACACCCGUGGCUAAGGCGGCUCUCUAGUACGGUACUGACGCUGAGACGCGAAAGCGUGGGGAGCGAACAGG